rnacentral:lncRNA from 1 species
GUCAGCCAUGCCCCGCCCCUUGCGCUGUCAGGAUUGAGGCUUCCCCCGCCCCUCCGUGGAGUCUCCUAAGUGCUUCGCCAUGCUCCAUCCGUAAUCCGGCCACUUUGGUCCUCAAGGUUUUAGACGCGAAACUCCAUCGCUGUAGUUUGCUAUUUCCGUACCUCUCGCAGAGUCCGUCCCUGCCUUGGAACACGCGUACUGUUUUCUUUCUUCGCCUGCCGUCCCACGGAAGAGGAGGUGAAGGACCACAGUCUCAGGCAUCUUGGUUUCGUGCACUGAGGCCAAGCAGUGGGUGAAUCUGAGAUCUGUCUUCAUCACUCACCCUGGGCUGAGAGUAAGACUGAUAAAGGACUCUAGAGCUGUCGGACCGCGACAGGAAGACUGAGUCUUCACCUGAAACUCCCGUGAUCGCCUGGUGCUGCCCACCCCCAGUCUGAACACGGAGUCCACUUUUCUCAGCUACAGUGCUGUUGGCCACCGACGGUCCCAGCCUUGAGGGGUUGGCUGGUGCCAAAGCAGUCAUCCAUGGGAGGACUUCUGGUAGAAAGAAUGGUACUGUAAAAGCCCUCUCUAUAGUCAGGACCAGCUGGAUGGGCUGAAAGGAUGUGAGAGUGGUAAAAGGCUGAGCUUUACAGAGACUCCUAGAGUUUUGUCCUGAGAGCAGUAGAGGGCUCUGAAGGUUCGAAGCCACAGACUGGGUCAGAUUUGCCAUCAGACCUGGGUUUCACAAGGCAUUCUUUAACUAUGGGGCUGGGAGCACAGCCUAGAUGGUGUGGACUAAGGGUAAGUGAGACCCUGCAGGAAACUAGCUGGGCCAGAGCAGAGCCCUGGAGGUGGUCAUGGACCUAGUUACUUACAUGUUUGGUGAUGAGGGGCCAAGUGGGCCCUUACUGUUGUCCCAGAGAAAGAGCACUACCACCACCACCGUGAGCCACACAAAUGAGUUAGAGGUAAAGCAAGGAGGAUCCCGUGAAGCUGAGAAGUAUCUUCCAUGGUGCUGCUCGCUCUCUGCACCCCUGAAAAGCUGGGAAACAGAAGGAAGACCUGAGGUUCAUCAUGGCACCAUGUCAUUUAUGGGGAGACCCAGUGGGGACACAGACCUCUGUCGUGUCACCGUUCAUGGAAAACACCAUAUGAUAGCCACGAGAAAGGAUGAAGUCAAGUCACAGUAUGUCGUGAUACCACGUCUAACAUCAUACAGUGACCCAGAGGAGAAUAGAGAACUAAGUUGUGUCUUAUUGCAUCACUGUUGUAUAGCAUCCCUUCAGAAAGCCAGCAGCAGGAAAGCAGGUGAGUUGGAUUUUUUUUCUCUUUGUCACAUAUGACAGUCCAGUGAUGAAACAUAUG